CCGGCUGCCGGGACGGACGGGGAACGCAGGCAGGCCAUCUGCUUGGCACCCGUGGCUUGGAGAGAUUAAUCAUUUAAUGAAUGUAGAAGAAUCUGGACGGAAGUGAAAAAUUACCCAUGCGCUAAAGGACAGACUCUCAAAAAUCAUCGCCAGUAAUAAUCGUGAGGUGGAAAUGAGGAACACA